UUUUGGACAAUGGGCGCAAGCCUGAUCCAGCCAUGCCGCGUGAGUGAAGAAGGCCUUCGGGUUGUAAAGCUCUUUCGGCGGGGACGAAACGGUUCGUGCUAAUACCACGGACUACUGACGGUACCCGCAGAAGAAGCACCGGCUAACUACGUGCCAGCAGCCGCGGUAAUACGUAGGGUGCAAGCGUUAAUCGGAAUUACUGGGCGAAAGCGUGCGCAGGCGGUUAUACAAGACAGGCGUGAAAUCCCCGGGCUAACCUGGGGGCUGCGCUGAGACGGCGGGGCUGAGGCCAGAGAGGGUGGUGAAUUCCCAGUGAGAGGUAAAUUCGAAAUUGGAAGACACCGGUGGCAAGGCGGCCACCUGGCUCGGCCUGCGUGGCCAGAG
rnacentral:rRNA from 1 species